GUUUGGCUGUGUUAUUGUCACAUAUAUGUUGACACAGUUUAGAAAGUGCAAACUGUGUCUGCAAACUGUGUCAACAUAUAUGUGGCAAUAACACAGCCAGACACAA